GUCUUUGUAGUGUAGUGGUUAUCACGUCCGCCUCACAAUCCAACGGGGUUCGCGGAAGGUCGCAGGUUCAAGCCCUGCCAAAGACA